AGAGGCUUUAUCAAGGCUAAAUGUUGUAAUUAGACACCCUAACGCUCUUCAGCCUGAAAAUGUUAUGGCGUAUGAUAACGCUGUUUCUGCUUUGGGGAAAAUAUGUCAGUUUCAUCGGGAUAGUAUCGACUCCACUCAUAUUAUUCCUGCAUGAUUAAGCUGUUUACCAAUUAAAGGAGAUCUUAUUGAGGCUAAAGUUGUUCAUGAACUACUUUGUUCGAUGGUGGAAAGGUCAGACAUCGAACUUCUGGGCCCCAACAAUCAAUAUGUGCCCAAAAUAGUUUCGGUAUUU